AGUGUGGUGGCUGAGCGGUUAAGGCGUUGGACUUAAGUUCCAAUGGACAUUAGUCCUCGUGGGUUCAAAUCCCAUUUGCACUA
rnacentral:tRNA from 1 species